AUUGAACGCUAGCGGCAGGCCUAACACAUGCAAGUCGAGCGAGCGGCGGACGGGUGAGGAAUGUAUGGGGACUGCCCGCUAGAGGUGGAUAACUACUGGCGACGGUAGCUCAUACCGCAUACUAUCGGAUAACCCAUAUGGGAUUAGCUAGUAGGUGAGGUAAUGGCUCACCUAGGCGACGAUCCCUAGCUGGUCUGAGAGGAUGAUCAGCCACACUGGGACUGAGACACGGCCCAGACUCCUACGGAGGCAGCAGUGGGGAAUGUUGCACAAUGGGCGCAACCCUGAUGCAGCCAUGCCGCGUGUAUGAAGAAGGCCCUAGGGUUGUAAAGUACUUUCAGUCGGGAGGCGUUACCUGCAGAAUAAGCACCGGCUAACUCCGUGCCAGCCGCCGCGGUAAUAC
rnacentral:rRNA from 1 species